CUGGCCUACGGGGCGCAGCAGUGGGGAAUAUUGCGCAAUGGGCGAAAGCCUGACGCAGCGACGCCGCGUGAGGGAUGAAGGUCUUCGGAUCGUAAACCUCUGUCAGCAGGGAAGAACGGGCACUGUGCUAAUCAGCAGUGAAUUGACGGUACCUGCAAAGGAAGCACCGGCUAACUCCGUGCCAGCAGCCGCGGUAAUACGGGGGGUGCGAGCGUUAAUCGGAAUUACUGGGCGUAAAGCGCUCGUAGGCGGUAUGUAAAGUGAAGGGUGA
rnacentral:rRNA from 1 species